rnacentral:lncRNA from 1 species
GUAAGCUAGGUUGCCUCUUCCUCUUCUUCUUCGUCGCCUCCGAAUGAUCAGGGCUUAUAAGCCAUCCUCAAGGCCCCCAGAGAUUUGUAAAUAUUUUUUUUAAAAAAAAUUAAUUACAACGAUGCUUAUAAGCAUCGGAAUAGAGUAUAUUUUUUUGUAGGAAUAGAAAUUUUUCUGUUUUUACCGACGCUUUCACGUAGCGUCGGCAAAAACUUUGCCACUCCGGUAUCGCCGACGCUUUUGCGACGCUUUAAUUAGCGUUGUCGGAACUUUAGCCGACGCUUAUAAGCGUCGGUAAAGGUUAGAAAAAGCGUCGGAAAAGAUGAAUUUUCCUGUAGUGCAGCUCGCCCCUUAAGGGCUCUUCUGUUAGUUUUGAGUCCAAAAAAUGUUCUUGAUGGAGAUGGAGAUGAAGAUGAAGAUGAGAUUGUGAAAUGCAGAGUAGGUGAUACAGGGUUCCUUGAAAACUCUCAGACAAUGAAGUGGUUACGUGUGAUUGG